GGACGGGUGAGUAACGCGUGGGUAACCUACCCCAAAGUCCGGGAUAACAGCGGGAAACCGCUGCUAAUACCGGAUGUCUUUACCUUGGGGCAUCUUGAGGUAAAGAAAGGUAACGCUUUGGGAUGGGCCCGCGUCCCAUUAGCUAGUUGGUGAGGUAACGGCUCACCAAGGCGACGAUGGGUAGCCGGCCUGAGAGGGUGGACGGCCACACUGGGACUGAGACACGGCCCAGACUCCUACGGGAGGCAGCAGUAGGGAAUAUUGCGCAAUGGACGGAAGUCUGACGCAGCGACGCCGCGUGAGCGGUGAAGGUCUUCGGAUCGUAAAGCUCUGUCCUUGGGGAAGAAGGCGAAAGCUUGACGGUACCCAAGAAGAAAGCCCCGGCUAACUACGUGCCAGCAGCCGCGGUAAUACGUAGGGGGCGAGCGUUGUCCGGAAUUACUGGGCGUAAAG
rnacentral:rRNA from 1 species